CCCUUAGAUGUCCUGGGCCGCACGCGCGCUACACUGAUGCAUUCAACGAGUUUUACCUUGGCCGAGAGGCCUGGGCAAUCUUUUAAACCUGCAUCGUGAUAGGGAUAGAUUAUUGCAAUUAUUAAUCUUGAACGAGGAAUUCCUAGUAAACGCAAAUCAUCAAUUUGCAUUGAUUACGUCCCUGCCCUUUGUACACACCGCCCGUCGCACCUACCGAUUGAAUGGUCCGGUGAAGUCUCGGGAUUGUGGCCAGUUCACUUUAUUGGGAGUUGGCUGCGAGAACUUGUCUAAACCUUAUCAUUUAGAGGAAGGUGAAGUCGUAACA
rnacentral:rRNA from 1 species